rnacentral:rRNA from 1 species
UACGUAGGUCCCGAGCGUUGUCCGGAUUUACUGGGUGUAAAGGGAGCGUAGGCGGUUUGGCAAGUCAGAAGUGAAAGCCCGGGGCUCAACUCCGGGACUGCUUUUGAAACUGGCGUGCUCGAGUUGGAGAGAAGUAUGCGGAAUUCGUGGUGUAGCGGUGAAAUGCAUAGAUAUCACGAAGAACCCCGAUUGCGAAGGCAGCAUACCGGCUCCACACUGACGCUGAGGCACGAAAGCGUGGGUAUCGAACAGG